rnacentral:rRNA from 1 species
AUGCAACCUGAGCUCAGUCGUGAUUACCCGCUGAACUUAAGCAUAUCACUUAGCGGAGGAAAAGAAACUAAAUGUU